rnacentral:rRNA from 1 species
GUGGGGAAUAUUGGACAAUGGGCGAAAGCCUGAUCCAGCCAUGCCGCGUGUGUGAAGAAGGUCUUCGGAUUGUAAAGCACUUUAAGUUGGGAGGAAGGGCAGUAAGUUAAUACCUUGCUGUUUUGACGUUACCGACAGAAUAAGCACCGGCUAACUUCGUGCCAGCAGCCGCGGUAAUACGAAGGGUGCAAGCGUUAAUCGGAAUUACUGGGCGUAAAGCGCGCGUAGGUGGUUCAGCAAGUUGGAGGUGAAAUCCCCGGGCUCAACCUGGGAACUGCCUCCAAAACUACUGAGCUAGAGUACGGUAGAGGGUAGUGGAAUUUCCUGUGUAGCGGUGAAAUGCGUAGAUAUAGGAAGGAACACCAGUGGCGAAGGCGACUACCUGGACUGAUACUGACACUGAGGUGCGUAAGCGUGGGGAGCAAACAGGAUUAGAUACCCCGGUAGUCC